rnacentral:rRNA from 1 species
CACACCCGUUCCCAUACCGAACACGGAAGUUAAGCUCUUCAGCGCCGAUGGUAGUUGGGGGUCUCCCCCUGUGAGAGUAGGACGCCGCCAAGC